UGCAGCAAUGCAAGGCAGACGGCUCAGUAACACGUAGUCAACCUAACCUAUGGACGGGGAUAACCUCGGGAAACUGAGAAUAAUACCCGAUAGAUCAUGAUACCUGGAACGGUUUAUGGUUCAAAUGAUUUAUCGCCAUAGGAUGGGACUGCGGUCUAUCAGCUUGUUGGUGAGGUAAUGGCCCACCAAGGCUAUAACAGAUACGGGCUCUGAGAGGAGGGGCCCGGAGAUGGGUACUGAGACACGGACCCAGGUCCUAUGGGGCGCAGCAGGCGAGAAACCUUUGCAAUGUGCGAAAGCACGACAAGGUUAAUCCGAGUGAUUCCUGCUAAAGGAAUCUUUUGUUAGUCAUAAAACCACUGAUGAAUAAGGGGUGGGCAAGUUCUGGUGUCAGCCGCCGCGGUAAUACCAGCACCUCGAGUGGUCAGGAGGUUUAUUGGGCCUAAAGCAUCCGUAGCCGGCUGCUCAAGUUUCCGGUUAAAUCCACACGCUUAACGUAUGGGCUGCCGGAAAUACUGUUCAGCUAGGGAGUGGGAGAGGUAGACGGUACUCGAUAGGAAGGGGUAAAAUCCUUUGAUCUAUUGAUGACCACCUGUGGCGAAGGCGGUCUACCAGAACACGUUCGACGGUGAGGGAUGAAAGCUGGGGGAGCAAACCGGAUUAGAUACCCGGGUAGUCCCAGCUGUAAACGAUGCAGACUCGGUGAUGCAUUGGCUUAUGG
rnacentral:rRNA from 1 species